GUCGCUGCAAAUGGUAAAGACAAAACGGUAAGAGUUCACAGUAGAAGAUUAUCACCAAGAUUUGUGAUACUGAUAUCAAACAAGACGGGAAAAAGUGCAACUUUGUGGUGAAUGUUCGAGCGAUAACCGUUGUAGGAUUUUCGUGCUCAUGACGAGUCUCUUCUUACACCACUCAUUCAUUAGGGAUUUGACAUAGAUUCUCACCAAUUUAUUGAAUAACGAUCUCGAAAUCAAUCAAUUUUAGAAGUUUCAAGCCAAAUGCAAAUACUUCAUUUAUUAUUAUUGUUAUUUUUUUCACUUUCUUUUCGUUUUCUUUUACCUAUUUCACCCAAGAUAAUGAGUGCAAUGGCCCAAGGAAAAGAAAACAACUCUUAGUGGAGGAUAUGCACGAGUAUAUGAUAUUAUCAUUGUAGCUGAAUCUUAACACAUCCUUCUUUAGUUUCCAAUCUACAAACCCAUCUUAACUAUGAAUCUAGUGACACGCUCACUGAACAUGCUUGAUAUGUAAUACUAAACAGAACAGCAUAUCCAGUUUUGUCUCCUUCGACCUAUCGAACAUCUCAAUGUAACUACCAAUCUCCUUGAAAGCUUCACUUUCCAAAUUCUUCUAAGAUCAGACACCAUGUUCACGAUAAUAUAAACCCGGAGAGUAGAACUGGUGGCGAGGCUCAAUUCUAUACUCCUGGCGGCCUUGGCGCAUAACCGUUGCACCUCUCUAGUGUGCUCAUGCUAUGUAGCAGCAAGGAAUUCAGACAGCAAAGAGGACGAAACUAACAACGUUAGUCGACAACAAUGUUCUGCAGACAAGAAAAAUAGGGUCAAUGAAAGAUCAUCUAAUAUUGCAUCAAAUGGGAUUCAUCAAAUUGAAUCAUCUGUUCCUCUCAAGAGUAAUCUUAAGAAAGCUGCUGCUGCUACAGGAACAAGAAAAGUUAGUUGGUCUGAUUCACAUGGCAAAGAUAUUGCUGAUGUUCAAGAAUUCGAGUCGAGUGUUAUAGAAGAAGAGGAACUACGAGGAGUGCGCAAUUCUUGUACGUGUAUAAUUCAAUGACGAUUGUGUGAUGCCAAAGUCAUGUAUGUUAAAUCAGAAGGAUAAACUUAUGUAUAAUUCAUCAAACAUUCAUUUAUCGAAGUUUUAUUUUAUCCAUUUCAAAUAGUAGCAGCAAGUUGUCCAUCAGAUGAUUUUUCUGUUAUCAGGAAAAUGAAGAUUUUGUGCCUUCCUUCAUAUUGGCUUCACACAAGGAAAAUGAAUGAUUUUGUGCCUUCCUUCA